AGCGAACGCUGGCGGCAGGCUUAACACAUGCAAGUCGAGCGGGCGUAGCAAUACGUCAGCGGCAGACGGGUGAGUAACGCGUGGGAACAUACCUUUUGGUUCGGAACAACACAGGGAAACUUGUGCUAAUACCGGAUAAGCCCUUACGGGGAAAGAUUUAUCGCCGAAAGAUUGGCCCGCGUCUGAUUAGCUAGUUGGUGAGGUAACGGCUCACCAAGGCGACGAUCAGUAGCUGGUCUGAGAGGAUGAUCAGCCACAUUGGGACUGAGACACGGCCCAAACUCCUACGGGAGGCAGCAGUGGGGAAUAUUGGACAAUGGGCGCAAGCCUGAUCCAGCCAUGCCGCGUGAGUGAUGAAGGCCCUAGGGUUGUAAAGCUCUUUUGU
rnacentral:rRNA from 1 species